rnacentral:rRNA from 1 species
ACCAGACUCCUACGGGAGGCAGCAGUGGGGAAUAUUGCACAAUGGGGGAAACCCUGAUGCAGCGACGCCGCGUGAGCGAGGAAGUAUUUCGGUAUGUAAAGCUCUGUCAGCAGGGAAGAAGAAUGACGGUACCUGAAGAAGAAGCACCGGCUAAAUACGUGCCAGCAGCCGCGGUAAUACGUAUGGUGCAAGCGUUAUCCGGAUUUACUGGGUGUAAAGGGAGCGCAGGCGGUUCUGCAAGUCUGAUGUGAAAGCCCGGGGCUCAACCGCGGGACUGCAUUGGAAACUGCGGGACUGGAGUGUCGGAGGGGUAAGCGGAAUUCCUGGUGUAGCGGUGAAAUGCGUAGAUAUCAGGAGGAACACCGGUGGCGAAGGCGGCUUACUGGACGAUGACUGACGCUGAGGCUCGAAAGCGUGGGGAGCAAACAGGAUUAGAUACCCGUGUAA